UGGGGAAUUUUGCGCAAUGGGGGAAACCCUGACGCAGCAACGCCGCGUGAGUGAUGAAGGCCUUCGGGUCGUAAAGCUCUUUUAGUGGGGAAGAAUCCCACCCGGGCUAAUACCUCGGGUGUCUGACGGUACCCACAGAAAAAGUUCCGGCUAACUACGUGCCAGCAGCCGCGGUAAUACGUAGGGAGCAAGCGUUGUUCGGAAUUAUUGGGCGUAAAGAGCGCGUAGGCGGUUCGGUAAGUCUGACGUGAAAUCCCAGAGCUUAACUCUGGAACUGCGUUGGAUACUGCCGAGCUUGAGUGUGGGAGAGGAGAGUGGAAUUCCCAGUGUAGAGGUGAAAUUCGUAGAUAUUGGGAGGAACACCCGUGGCGAAGGCGGCUCUCUGGACCACAACUGACGCUGAGGCGCGAAAGCUAGGGUAGCAAACGGG
rnacentral:rRNA from 2 species